UCGGAGCGUAAACUCCUUUUUAUCAGGAAAGAAUAAAUGACGGUACCUGAUGAAUAAGCACCGGCUAACUCCGUGCCAGCAGCCGCGGUAAUACGGGGGGUGCAAGCGUUACUCGGAAUCACUGGGCGUAAAGGACGCGUAGGCGGAUUAUCAAGUCUUUUGUGAAAUCUAGUGGCUUAACCACUAAACUGCUUAGGAAACUGAUAGUCUAGAGUAGGGGAGAGGUAGAUGGAAUUCUUGGUGUAGGGGUAAAAUCCGUAGAGAUCAAGAAGAAUACCCAUUGCGAAAGCGAUCUGCUGGAACCUAACUGACGCUGAGGCGUGAAAGCGUGGGUAGCAAACAGGAUUAGAUACCCUGGUAGUCCACGCCCUAAACGAUGUAUACUAGUUGUUGCUUUGCUAGUCAAGGCAGUAAUGCAGCUAACGCAUUAAGUAUACCGCCUGGGGAGUACGGUCGCAAGAUUAAAACUCAAAGGAAUAGACGGGGACCCGCACAAGCGGUGGAGCAUGUGGUUUAAUUCGAAGAUACGCGAAGAACCUUACCUGGACUUGACAUCCUAAAAACAUCUAAGAGAUUAGAAAGUGCUAGUUUACUAGAAUUUAGUGACAGGUGCUGCACGGCUGUCGUCAGCUCGUGUCGUGAGAUGUUGGGUUAAGUCCCGCAACGAGCGCAACCCACGUGUUUAGUUGCUAACAGCUCGGCUGAGCACUCUAAACAGACUGCGCUUCGUAAGGAGGAAGAA
rnacentral:rRNA from 1 species